rnacentral:rRNA from 1 species
UACAGAGGGGGCAAGCGUUAUUCGGAAUUAUUGGGCGUAAAGGGCGCGUAGGCGGUUCUUCAAGUCUCUCGUGAAAUCCCUCGGCUUAACUGAGGACGUGCGGGAGAUACUGAAGGGCUUGAGUCCGGAAGAGGGUGGUGGAAUUCCCAGUGUAGCGGUGAAAUGCGUAGAUAUUGGGAGGAACACCGGGUGGCGAAGGCGGCCACCUGGGCCGGAACUGACGCUGAGGCGCGAAAGCGUGGGGAGCAAACGGG